rnacentral:lncRNA from 1 species
GUGGUGAUGCAGUGGCACAGGCUGCCCAGGGAGGUGGUGGAGUCACUGUCCCUGGAGGUGUUCAAGAACCAUGUAGAUGUGACACCGAGGGAUGUAGUUAAUGGGCACGGUGGGUUGACAGUUGGACCAGAUGAUCUUAAUGGUCUCUUCCAACCUUAAUGAUUCAAUGAAUUCCAUGUUUCUACGAUUCCAUGAAGGUUGAUCACCUCCUAUGUGUCCAGUGUCUCCGCCACGGUGAGCUGCAAGGUGCAAACUUCUACAAGGGCUCAAUGCAGCAACAGCAGAAAUUGCCCCAAAAAGCAGUGUUUCAAAGAGUCUUUUGCAUGUUGGAAUUUUACAAAUCUCCAAUGAGGAAAAAAAACUCUUCAUGGUGAUGUGCCAGGCUGGGCUGCAGCCAGCAGACCUGGAGCGGGAGCAGCUGGGUGGCAGAGCAUGGUGGGAGCACUGCAGCCAGGAGCCUUCACUGCAGACUCACUCACAUACUGCAGCCCUUUGGAGAGGAUCAUCUGCAUAAUUACAAGGAUCACAAAUUCUGCACUUCCCCUAUCAGUGAGCGUUUUCCUUUUGGGUACAGUAUGUUCCUGCAGAUUCCAACGAUAAACUGUCCUAAUGGUCUUUGCAGUCAUUUGAUGUAGCUACAUAAAAAUGUCCUAGCACUGCGCUGGAAGGCAGCUCCCCUCCGCGUGGAUCUGCAUGGGAACAGGGUGUGUGCAGCACGUCCCAUCCACGGCAGGGCAGAGCUGGGCCAAUGUGCAGCUGUGAGCGUGAGCGCGGUGAGCGGGCAGCACGUGCCGUGCCAGCUGUGCCCAACGCGCACCGGCAGCCCUCCAGCAAACGUCCCAUUGUGCUGUGCAUGCUUACUGGAAAGUGGCUUUGCGAGCAGAGCUAUUUCAACCAGCUGCUGGGGAACUUCAUGGAGUGCUGCAGGACCUCAGCGCACAGAGGUUGUCAUGCUGUGACCUGGGGGAGAACAAUGAGGGAAGCACAAAGGUUACCCAGAAAGUUGGUCAAUGGAGAAAGAAGGGCUGAGCCUCUUGCUGCAGCCUGCAGGACAUGGGGACGUCGCACCCAGCUCUCUCUGCACAGCAGGCACCUGAUUCUGGGCAACCGAAAAUGGGAGCACCAAAAACAGAGGUGUUUUGAAAGCAGUGACUGCCGUAAGGGAAGAGUUCGGUUCGUUUCCUCUCUGGAGUGCUCUUCUAUUGACUCAGUCCUCAAGCAGUGGGAGGUGCUGGAAGGUUGUUUAAACACAAAGAAGAGAGGCAAGGUGAUCUCAAAUAAGAUACGAGUACUGUGGGUUGACCUAUUACUGAGAUGUUUACUGUACAGAAUUUUGUUUAACUUCAGUCCUUAAAGAAUAAAAUCGGCUCCUGAAGGCAUUUAAGAGACUGCAUCCAGACAGCAAGCUGCAGCCUGUGUCAGCACCACUUGAAGGGCCACUGGGGACUGUGCUGGAGCCCUGUUCAGGCAGAGGAAGCAACUGCCAUGGAUCUGCUGUCCCUGCUCAAUGCAAAGAAGUUGGACCAGAUGACCUUUAAAGAUCCCUUGCAACUCCAACUCUAUGAUUCUAUGAAAAUAAAUGGA